CCAACUUUGUUAAACCUACCAAC
rnacentral:piRNA from 1 species